GAUGAAGAACGCAGCGAAAUGCGAUAAGUAGUGUGAAUUGCAGAAGUACCGUGAAUCAUCGAAUCUUUGAACGCAAAUUGCACUCUCUGGUAUUCCGGGGAGUAUGCCUGUUUGAGGGUCGCUUAACAAACCAUCGAUUUCGUUGCUUUUUUUUUUAAAGUUAUGUUUAUCGGAUUUGAGCCGUCUUUUUUUUUAUAUUUAAGUGGCUUAAAAUUGAUUUUUUUGGUACGAUCGAAGCGUAUUUUUAUGAUCAAUUUUUGGUUAAAGAAACGCACACGUACCGUUAUUUAUAUGAUGUAAUACGUUUGACUAUUGGAUUUAGUUCAUUCGUAUACGAUAUCUUUCAAUAUUUGACCUCAAAUCAGGUAAGAACACCCGCUGAACUUAAGCAUAUCAAUAGCGGAGGA
rnacentral:misc_RNA from 1 species